rnacentral:rRNA from 1 species
AACGAACGCUGGCGGCAGGCUUAACACAUGCAAGUCGAACGCACCGCAAGGUGAGUGGCAGACGGGUGAGUAACACGUGGGGAUCUACCCAAUGGUACGGAAUAGCUCCGGGAAACUGGAAUUAAUACCGUAUGAGCCCGCAAGGGGAAAGAUUCAUCGCCAUUGGAUGAACCCGCGUCGGAUUAGCUAGUUGGUGUGGUAAAGGCGCACCAAGGCGACGAUCCGUAGCUGGUCUGAGAGGAUGAUCAGCCACACUGGGACUGAGACACGGCCCAGACUCCUACGGGAGGCAGCAGUGGGGAAUAUUGGACAAUGGGCGCAAGCCUGAUCCAGCCAUGCCGCGUGAGUGAUGAAGGCCUUAGGGUUGUAAAGCUCUUUCGCCGACGAAGAUAAUGACGGUAGUCGGAGAAGAAGCCCCGGCUAACUUCGUGCCAGCCGCCGCAGUAACAC